AUUUGGGAAGAAUUGAAAAAACAAACAAAGCAGCGGCAGUUGUAACUAAAAAUUCUUUGUAAAAGCGUUGUUGGAUAAUACAAUUGUCACUUAUGUAAAGUUUUACGACGAACGGUGAACAGCAUUAAAAUAAAAGUGCUACUCCCGCGAAAUUUGACCCCUCUUUUUGUGCUAAUCUAAUAGAAGUCGCGAAGCUGAAAACGAAUCUUAAAAUAAAAUUUCAUUUAACUUUUUCAAACCGAUUUUACAGCUCUCCAAAGUUGCGAUUUUUGGCACUUCCUGUUCGAAUUUAUACAUGACUUGUGACGUCAUAAGAUGUGCACAUACUUAUCAUGACGUAUAAUUUUAAUAGCGAAAAAAGCGUUUGUGGAGGUAAACAUUGUGUUGUUUGUGGUCCUAACUUAGUUAACUUCAACAUGAAUUCUCAUGCAGAAGGAAUAUAUAUGCAUGAGUUUCCUAAAGAGGAAACAGAUGCUCAAAGACGAAGAAAAUAGAUUAUACUUGUUCGCAAACAUAGACCACAAUGGUCGCCUACUUCAAAUUCGUUUCUCUGUUCGGCGCAUUGGAAGUUUCUUGCUUUGAUGUAAACCGAUCUCUUGCUAAGUCACUCGAUAUCAAAAGAAGACUUAAAAGCAAUGCUGUUCCCACUGCUAACAUGGCGGGAAGUGUUCCUAUGAGUGAGCAACAGAUAACGAAUCGCCAACGGAGACAAGUACAAAGUAACAUGUUAAUUGGCUAUGCUUUGGAACAUUCACGUGCCCUUUCUCACACUUAAAUAUAUUUAUAUUUUAGUGGACCCACAAGUCAUCGUCAUCUAUAAAAUCGCCCUGUACUCCUGGAAAAAUUGACGAACAAGAGCAAAAAAACAAUGGAAGAUAUGACUGUUACAGACUUCAGGCUUGUUGGACUGUGAGCCUUUGCAGGCUAUGGCUGUCAAAAAACAAAGCCGAAGCGAGAAAAAAAAAACAAGAAAAAAGCUGUUCUGCCAAUUGUACAUCAUGCGCCAUUUCAAAAAAAAACCCAGCUCUCUCCAAAAAACUGUCAGCCAACUGAAGAAAACUAAGGCAACAUUGCUGAGGCAAAUUCAAAAUCUUUAGGCCCAGCAGAAGGCACUUUUAGAUGCUCCAUCUGCAGGUAGAAUGGACAAAGAAUUGUAGGUGAUUGUAUGGUAGAAGAGAUCGAAGAUGAUUUAGUUGAAUCUUUAUCAAACGACUACUCGUCUUUGAAGAAUCAAGUCAGGAUAAUUGAUUUGGAUGAGGAUAUCAUGACAAAUUCUAUUAGAACGUAAAUGGUGGUUUCAGGAUUACUCUGAUUGUGGCUAUUUGAUUGACAAGAGUCCCAAGCUGGAAUUGCUAGAGAGAAGCAAAUGGACAACAUUCACAAAGAAGAGCUAAAUGUAUUUUGUACAAAGGUUUAGUUUGUUGUUGGAUGAGUUGUACUUUUCAGAAAUACAAGUAACGCGUUAUUUAUCAAUACAGAGUGUCUGUUUAAUAAAACAAUAUUUUCUUAUUACAAAAUCUCUUUAACUAUUUACAAGAUAAAAAUUGCUGUUGAGGGUUAAUUGAAUAAAGUUGACAGCCCACCAUUUUA